AGUGAACGCUGGCGGCGUGCCUAAUACAUGCAAGUCGAACGGAGUGGCGCACGGGUGAGUAAUAUAUAGCUAAUCUGCCCCUUGCUGGAGGACACCAGUUAGAAAUGACUGCUAAUACUCCAUAGCAAGGGAUGAGACUAUAUCGUAUCAGCUCGUCGGUGGGGUAACGGCCUACCUAGGCGAUGACGCGUAACUGGUCUGAGAGGAUGAUCAGUUACAUUGGAACUGACACACGGUCCAAACUCCUACGGGAUGGAUCAGGUGGGUAUAUUGCGCAAUGGGGGAAACCCUGACGGAGCAACGCCUCGUGGAGGCUGUCACUUGUCGGAGCGUAAACUCCUUUUGUUAGGGAAGCGGUACCUAACGAAUAAGCACCGGCUAACUCCGUGCCAGCAGCCGCGGUAAUAC
rnacentral:rRNA from 1 species